rnacentral:lncRNA from 1 species
CAACACCAAAGUCCUGCGUGUCUUUGAUAUCAUGAUCCGACAAAAUAGCUGUAAAAGUAUGAAAUCAUCUAUCUCUAAUCUUUAUAAAAUUAGUCUGUAUACCCUCAAAAGUUUUUCCAUUCUUUUCCCUCGACAUUACCCAAAAUAUUUUAAGUGGAAUAAAGAACAAAUGAUGUUUCUUUUUACCAGUGCCCACCCACGCCCACAACUCAUUACUCAUGGUAG